GAUGAAGAACGCAGCGAAAUGCGAUAAGUAAUGUGAAUUGCAGAAUUCAGUGAAUCAUCGAAUCUUUGAACGCACAUUGCGCCCGCCAGUAUUCUGGCGGGCAUGCCUGUUCGAGCGUCAUUUCAACCCUCAAGCCCCCGGGCUUGGUGUUGGGGAUCGGCGUGCCCUCGCGGCGCGCCGUCCCCUAAAUCUAGUGGCGGUCUCGCUGUAGCUUCCUCUGCGUAGUAGCAACACUCGCACUGGAUCGCAGCGCAGCCACGCCGUUAAACCCCCCACUUCUGAAAGUUUGACCUCGGAUCAGGUAGGAAUACCCGCUGAACUUAAGCAUAUCAAUAAGCGGAGGA
rnacentral:misc_RNA from 1 species